UCCAUCUCCAACGGCAACAUCCAGGUGGAUGCUUCCUUCAUGCAAACCCUCUGGAACGUCCAUCCCAUCUGCUCCGGCAGCAACAUAGAAGAAGGCUACCUACUGGGUGGUCAUGUGAUGCGGUUGUUCCAUGGACAUGACGAGGUGGUGGCCAUCCCAGGAUCAGACCAGAGUGAAGAGCAGCAGAGGAUAGUCAACUAUGAGACGGGUAAAGCCGGAGCCAAGGCCAGA